GGGGCUCAGUCCUUUGGAUGUUAAUCCAAGUGGACCAGUGCACCUAAAUAAUAAAUAUCCUCCUCAAUCCCUUGGUCUCUCUGAUUCCUUAUAUAUCCCGAUACAUUUCUGGGGGCUCAUCAGGAUUGGAGAUGACAGAUUUACUGUCCCCUUUGCCUGCGAUACUAGGUCCCCGGGGCCAGGAGAGACCCGGCAUCCAAGGUGUGCCACAGCUGAGCUUCACCCGGAUAUAUAGACCAGCUCUCCCCACGUCCCAGCACCCUGCCUGGCAGCGCAAUGGAACCGAGGAUGGGGCUGCAGGACGAUACCAGCACUUCAGGAACUGUGGCUGGCAACCUUGUAGUAAAUGGGACCACAUCCCUUAAACUACCCAGGAGCAAAGCUGGACUUCCACGAAAAAGGUUUGUGCAAAUCUAAAACCCCUCAUCUAUUUCACUAAAAGGACUACCCCUUCUCACUGUCAGCCUUAUCAGUGUAACCCUGUCCUUCUCUUUAUCACCACCUCCACCUUAACUAACUCUAGACCUGCCCUUAGUCGCUUCUGUGGUAUGGGGAUUGACAUAAAUGGAAAAGACCCCCUAGGUAUUUUUAAAAUAUGGAUUUUUCCCCCAUCUCCCCCUUCUUCAGUAGCCUCAGUUCUAGAUCCCACACCAGUUGCUCCUACAUCUAAUAAAACUAGGGUGUCUAUUGUAAAAAUAAGAUAUCUAAGACAGACCUUAGCCAUCAAGACAAAAUAUCAAGAUGCAAAUUCCUGGCUGAAAUGGAUUAAAUAAUCCAUUCACACUUUAAAUAAAAGCGAUUAUUACGCUUGUACACACGGUAGGCCAGAGGCCCAGAUUAUCUCCUUUCCACUUGGAUGGUCUCCUUGUCAUCCAGAUAUGGAGUGUAUGGUGGUUCUUUUUCAAAAUCCCACUGCUUGGGAUAAUCCAUCAUACUGAGCGCUCUCUGCUAUUUCCUGAAAUUCAACACCCUGCGGGUCAGCCUCCGAGGGCAAUCCAGCUUCCACCUCUAAAUGCCAAGUUUACUUUGUGCCUCUCAUGGCAGGAGGAAAAUUUGGCGUUCCUUGAAAGCAUAAAAGGAUACAAGAAGCCCAAGCCUUUCCAAGAACUUGCCCAUCAGUCCAUGCUUAGCCAUCCCCAAGCAAAUGUAUAGUGGUACUGUGGAAGACCUUUACUGGACACUCGGCCAAAUAACUGGAGCAGUACUUGUGCUCUAAUCCAAUUGGCUAUCCGCUUCACGCUGGCAUUUCGUCAAUCUAAAAAGGUAAAAACAAAACACCGCAGGCCAAAGGAAACUCCUUGAGUCCUUUAAUCCUCAGGUUUACGUAAAUGUUAUUAAGGUCCGUGAGAAGUGCCAAAUAAGUUUAAAGCACAAAAAUCAAAUAGCUGCAAAAUUUAAAUCCAUGUUGGUCUGGUAGGUAACCAUAAAUUAAAAAAAAAUUUAACUUCAAUUCAAUUCUCACCUCGUUUGCCCUUACUAUUGGUGUACUUAUUCUUGUAGACUGUUAUAUUAUGCCCUGCCUUCAAGGUUUUAUGCAAAAACUUGUCUCUGCUGCUCUUACAGAGUUAACUCCUAACUAUCCUCCACCCUAUUGAAAAAAAAUUACCUCUCUUAGAAGGACAAAGAAUUAAGUCAAAACAUAUUAAACAAGACUGAGGAGGAAUUAUGAAAUAAAAAAAGGGGGAAUAUUGUAAAAAGUAAAGUAGAGGUUCCUCUUCAAAGACUUUCCUCCCCAUCUAAUUAGAAAUAAACAGUAACUUCUCUUAGAAGCAAAAUUUAUUCAAAGACCUGUGCUCCUAAAUAUUUGCCCUGGCAUGCUUAUACUGGUCCAAGCAAGCGUUAGGUCAUAGCCUGUUCCUCUUCCUUAUUUAAAAGUGUUUUUAUCUUUCUCAGCAUUCCACAAGUUACUUCCUCCUUCCUUUGUUCUCCUCUACCUUUGCCUCUUUUAAAAAGUUCUAAGUUGCUAGCCAAUCGGGACAAAUACAGAAUGUGAGGUCCCGUUCCAGCCAGUGGAAACCGGACACAGCAGUAGUGUGGACAUGUCAGGUUAUAAAUGACCCUGUCUCCUUUGUUCGGUGUACUCUCAUGGCAGAACUGCUAGUGAGUGUACCCUUUCUGCAGGAAGUAAAAAAUGGCCUUACUAAAUAAAUUAAAUUUAUGUUCAAGUCCUAUUUCUUUAUGACACCGGGGAACAAGCAUUUCAAACAAUUCCAUUCUAAUAACCCCAAGUCUUAGCUUUUUACGGAAUCAAUUGUAAAGUCUAAAGUCCAAAAUCUUAUCUAAAUAUCAUCAAACAAGAUAUGCAUGAGACUCAAGAUUCUAUUUAUUCAGAGGCAAAAUUCCUUCUUAACUGUGAACCUGUGAAACCAAACAAGUUAUGUGCUUCCAAAAUACAAUAGUGGGACAAACAUAGGAUGGAUAUUACUAUUCCAAAAGGAAGAAAGAGAGGAAGAGAAACAGUCAUGGGACUCAAGCAAGUACAAAUCAUAGCAAAGGAAACGUCCUAAGAUCUUACUUAAGGCUGGAGAAUAAUGCCUUUAAGAUAAUCAUGGCCCACUGGGGCAGCACCACCUCCCUGACCCCGUUGGGUGGAGGACCCAUUAAAAGUGGCAGCAUGACCCCCACAGGCAGGGAAGGCACUGCCCAUGCUGUGUCUCUCUGCUGUGGCCCUGCCCAUGAGGCAAUUUCCUGUGGAGGGUGGGGUUGCACUCUCAGUGAUCUGCUGGCCUUCUCUUCCUUCACUGAUCCCCUGGGUGUUGGUCCUACCUUUAGAAAUUAAAACAGCACCCCUCCCCCAGCCCAUCCACUCUGGGCUUGUGGUGGGAGAGGCAGCCUUGGGGAUAUCUGAAUUGCCUUUAGGAUCUCUCUUCUUUUGUCUUGGAGAAUCAUGCAUGUUUGCAGUGAAAUUGUUCUAUGGUUUGGUCCUGUGGAGUCUAAGAAAUCUGACAGUCUUUGGUCAUUUUGUCCUGUUUUUGUUUGUUUCCUUUAGUCUCAGUUGGCAGUGUUACCGCUGGUGUAAUCUCUUCUCUGUUCCUGGCUUUUAUUGAGAUGGUUGAUCAUCUUUACACAGUCCUUUGCAUGCAGAUGUACGUAUUUGGAGUUGAACAGUUUUCUAUAUAGCCUUUAAAGCUCGAGGCAUAGAGUGCACAGUCUCCCUUCUGCAUUUCAAUUAUUGUUAGUCUAGAGGAGAGACAAUUACAAAUUACAUACAUGAUUUUAUUAACGCGGGAAAAUAAAAAUGAAUCAUACCUAUUGAACUUCAAAUACAGGAACUUAAUACCAUUUUAGGAGAUUAUGGACCAUGCCUGGUCCUAAUUCAUAAACAAAAUAUAGCCAACUCAGAUAAUAAAAAUAAAAAUUAUAAAUAAUGCGCCACUCUUUUUAUCAU
rnacentral:lncRNA from 1 species